rnacentral:rRNA from 1 species
CGUUAGCGGCGGACGGGUGAGUAACACGUGGGUAACCUACCUAUAAGACUGGGACAACUUCGGGAAACCGGAGCUAAUACCGGAUAAGAUAUCGAACCGCAUGGUUCGAUAGUGAAAGAUGGUUUUGCUAUCACUUAUAGAUGGACCCGCGCCGUAUUAGCUAGUUGGUGAGGUAACGGCUCACCAAGGCAACGAUACGUAGCCGACCUGAGGGGGUGAUCGGCCACACUGGAACUGAGACACGGUCCAGACUCCUACGGGAGGCAGCAGCG